AGAGUUUGAUCCUGGCUCAGGACGAACGCUGGCGGCGUGUUUAAGACAUGCAAGUCGCACGGGGGAAGGUGGUAGCGAUACUUCCCUUCCCCAGUGGCGCACGGGUGAGUAACACGUGAGUGACAUGCCCCGCAGUGGGGGAUAGCCCGCCGAAAGGCGGAUUAAUACCCCAUGGCACCGCAGGGUUAAAGGUGGCGCAAGCUGCCGCUGCGGGAUUGGCUCGCGUCCUAUCAGCUUGUUGGCGGGGUAACGGCCCACCAAGGCGGCGACGGGUACCUGGUCUGAGAGGACGAUCAGGCACACUGGAACUGAGACACGGUCCAGACACCUACGGGUGGCAGCGGUCGAGAAUAAUUCACAAUGGGCGAAAGCCUGAUGGUGCAACGCCGCGUGGAGGAUGAAGGUCUUCGGAUUGUAAACUCCUGUCAUCGGGGAGUAAGACCUGGGCGUGAACAGCGCACAGGGUUGAUAGUACCCGAAGAGGAAGGGACGGCUAACUUCGUGCCAGCAGCCGCGGUAAUUC
rnacentral:rRNA from 1 species